rnacentral:rRNA from 1 species
CCUGCGGAAGGAUCAUUAGUGAAUAUAGGACGUCCAACUUAACUUGGAGUCCGAACUCUCACUUUCUAACCCUGUGCAUUUGUUUGGGAUAGUAACUCUCGCAAGAGGGCGAACUCCUAUUCACUUAUAAACACAAAGUCUAUGAAUGUAUUAAAUUUUAUAACAAAAUAAAACUUUCAACAACGGAUCUCUUGGCUCUCGCAUCGAUGAAGAACGCAGCGAAAUGCGAUAAGUAAUGUGAAUUGCAGAAUUCAGUGAAUCAUCGAAUCUUUGAACGCACCUUGCGCUCCAUGGUAUUCCGUGGAGCAUGCCUGUUUGAGUGUCAUGAAUACUUCAACCCUCCUCUUUCUUAAUGAUUGAAGAGGUGUUUGGUUUCUGAGCGCUGCUGGCCUUUAGGGUCUAGCUCGUUCGUAAUGCAUUAGCAUCCGCAAUCGAACUUCGGAUUGACUUGGCGUAAUAGACUAUUCGCUGAGGAAUUCUAGUCUUCGGACUAGAGCCGGGUUGGGUUAAAGGAAGCUUCUAAUCAGAAUGUCUACAUUUUAAGAUUAGAUCUCAAAUCAGGUAGGACUACCCGCUGAACUUAAGCAUA